rnacentral:telomerase_RNA from 1 species
CGCGGUUUUUGAUGAUGUGCUUUGUCCGCGGAUUGAUGCCCUCGAUCCCAACUUGAAUUGGAUUUCGAGAGGAAACAAAGACUAGUC